GCCAGGUGUGGUGGCGCAUGACUGUAAUCCCUGCAGCUCAGGAGGUUGAGGCAGGAGGAUCAUGAGUUUAAAGCCAGCCUCAGCAAUUUAUCGAGGCCCUAAGCAACUCAGUGAGCCCCUGUCUCUA
rnacentral:sRNA from 1 species